rnacentral:rRNA from 1 species
CUACGGGCUGCUCCAGUGAGGAAUAUUGCACAAUGGGGGGAACCCUGAUGCAGCAACGCCGCGUGGAGGAUGACGCAUUUCGGUGUGUAAACUCCUUUUAUAUGUCAAGAAAAUGACGGUAGCAUAUGAAUAAGCACCGGCUAACUCCGUGCCAGCAGCCGCGGUAGUACGGAGGGUGCAAGCGUUACUCGGAAUCACUGGGCGUAAAGGACGCGUAGGCGGGUUGGAAAGUCAGGUGUGAAAUCCUACAGCUUAACUGUAGAGCUGCACUUGAAACUUCUAAUCUAGAGUAUGGGAGGGGGAGAUGGAAUUAGUGGUGUAGGGGUAAAAUCCGUAGAUAUCACUAGGAAUACCUAAAGCGAAGGCGAUCUCCUGGAACAUUACUGACGCUAAGGCGUGAAAGCGUGGGGAGCAAACAGGAUUAGAUACCCGUGUAGUC